UACGUAGGGUGCGAGCGUUAAUCGGAAUUACUGGGCGUAAAGCGUGCGCAGGCGGCUUUGCAAGACAGAUGUGAAAUCCCCGGGCUUAACCUGGGAACUGCAUUUGUGACUGCAUGGCUGGAGUGCGGCAGAGGGGGAUGGAAUUCCGCGUGUAGCGGUGAAAUGCGUAGAUAUCGGAAGGAACAUCAGUGGCGAAAGCGGCUUCCUGGUCCAGCACCGACGUUCAGGCA
rnacentral:rRNA from 1 species